rnacentral:rRNA from 1 species
GGGGAGGUAGUGACGAAAAAUAACAAUACAAGACUCAUAUCCGAGGCCUUGUAAUUGGAAUGAGUACACUUUAAAUCCUUUAACGAGGACCAAUUGGAGGGCAAGUCUGGUGCCAGCAGCCGCGGUAAUUCCAGCUCCAAUAGCGUAUAUUAAAGUUGUUGCGGUUAAAACGUUCGUAGUUGAAUUUGUGUUCCAUACGGGUAGUACACCUAAAAUAUUGGUUCGUACAUUACCUUUUAGUUAUGUGAACGUAUUACCGGUGGAGUUUAUUUUGUUAAAAAUUCAUUUUUGAAUUUUUUAACAAAUAUCUCCUAUAUAAACCUGCUUCAAUGCUCUUUACCGGGUGUUGUAGUGGGCCGGUACAAUUACUUUGAACAAAUUAGAGUGCUUAAAGCAGGCUCCAAAUGCCUGAAUAUUUUGUGCAUGGAAUAAUGGAAUAAGACCUCUGUUCUACUUUCAUUGGUUUUUAGAUCAAGAGGUAAUGAUUAAUAGAAGCAGUUGGGGGCAUUAGUAUUACGACGCGAGAGGUGAAAUUCUUGGACCGUCGUAGGACUAACUUAAGCGAAAGCAUUUGCCAAAGAUGUUUUCAUUAAUCAAGAACGAAAGUUAGAGGUCCGAAGGCGAUCAGAUACCGCCCUAGUUCUAACCAUAAACGAUGCCAGCUAGCAAUUGGGUGUAGCUACUAUUAUGGCUUUCUCAGUCGCUUCCCGGGAAACCAAAGCUUUUGGGCUCCGGGGGAAGUAUGGUUGCAAAGCUGAAACUUAAAGGAAUUGACGGAAGGGCACCACCAGGAGUGGAGCCUGCGGCUUAAUUUGACUCAACACGGGAAAACUUACCAGGUCCGAACAUAAAUGAGUAAGACAGAUUGAUAGCUCUUUCUCGAAUCUAUGGGUGGUGGUGCAUGGCCGUUCUUAGUUCGUGGAGUGAUUUGUCUGGUUAAUUCCGAUAACGAACGAGACUCAAAUAUAUUAAAUAGAUGCAUUCAGGAUUAUGAUGUUUGAAACUUAACAUAUCCUUCUUGCAUGAACUAUAGCAAUAUAUAAUUGUUUGAAGUGUUUUAUGUAAGUGGAGUCGUACCUGUUUGUUUGUCCCAUUAAUACGGACACUAGCUUCUUAAAUGGACAAAUUGCGUCUAGCAAUAAUGAGAUUGAGCAAUAACAGGUCUGUGAUGCCCUUAGAUGUCCUGGGCUGCACGCGCGCUACAAUGAAAGUAUCAACGUGUAUUUCCUAGACCGAGAGGUCCGGGUAAACCGCUGAAUCACUUUCAUGCUUGGGAUUGUGAACUGAAACUGUUCACAUGAACCUGGAAUUCCCAGUAAGUGCGAGUCAUUAACUCGCAUUGAUUACGUCCCUGCCCUUUGUACACACCGCCCGUCGCUACUACCGAUUGAAUUAUUUAGUGAGGUCUCCGGACGUGAUCACUGUGACGCGCUUUGUGUGUUUCGGAUGUUUCACCGAAGUUGACCGAACUUGAUUAUUUAGAGGAAGUAAAAGUCGUAAC